AUUGAACGCUGGCGGCAUGCCUUACACAUGCAAGUCGAACGGCAGCACGGGGGCAACCCUGGUGGCGAGUGGCGAACGGGUGAGUAACAUAUCGGAACAUACCCUAGAGUGGGGGAUAACGUAGCGAAAGUUACGCUAAUACCGCAUACGAUCUAAGGAUGAAAGUGGGGGAUCUUCGGACCUCAUGCUCAUGGAGUGGCCGAUAUCUGAUUAGCUAGUUGGUGAGGUAAAGGCUCACCAAGGCGACGAUCAGUAGCUGGUUUGAGAGAACGACCAGCCACACUGGAACUGAGACACGGUCCAGACUCCUACGGGAGGCAGCAGUGGGAAUUUUGGACAAUGGGGCGAACCCUGAUCCAGCAAUGCGACGUGAGCGAAG
rnacentral:rRNA from 1 species